rnacentral:rRNA from 1 species
GACGAACGCUGGCGGCGUGCUUAACACAUGCAAGUCGAACGGUGAAGCUCCAGCUUGCUGGAGUGGAUCAGUGGCGAACGGGUGAGUAACACGUGAGCAACCUGCCCCUGACUCUGGAAUAAGCGCUGGAAACGGCGUCUAAUACUGGAUACGAGAAGGGUCCGCAUGGGCACUUUCUGGAAAGUUUUUCGGUUGGGGAUGGGCUCGCGGCCUAUCAGCUUGUUGGUGAGGUAAUGGCUCACCAAGGCGACGACGGGUAGCCGGCCUGAGAGGGCGACCGGCCACAGUGGGAAUGAGACACGGCCCAGACUCCUAGGGGAGGCAGCAGGGGGGAAUAUUGCAGAAGGGGCGAAAGCCUGAUGCAGCGACGCCGGGUGGGGGAUGACGGCUUUCGGGUUGAAAACCUCUUUCGGCGGGGAAGAAGGGAGAGUGACGGGACCGGAAAAAGAAGCCCGGGCAAACUAGGGG